rnacentral:sRNA from 1 species
CCUUGCUCUGCGCUGAGGUGCUGGGACAGCCAUGAUUUCAGACGAAGAUGAAUUGAAUCUUCUGGUUAUUGUAGUUGAUGCCAACCCAAUUUGGUGGGGAAAGCAAGCAUUAAAGGAAUCUCAGUUCACUUUAUCCAAAUGCAUAGAUGCUGUGAUGGUGCUGGGAAAUUCGCAUUUAUUCAUGAAUCGUUCCAACAAACUUGCUGUGAUAGCAAGUCACAUUCAAGAAAGCCGAUUCUUAUAUCCUGGAAAGAAUGGCAGACUUGGAGACUUCUUCGGAGACCCAGGCAACCCUCCUGAAUUUAAUCCCUCUGGAAGUAAAGAUGGAAAAUACGAACUUUUAACCUCAGCAAAUGAAGUUAUUGUUGAAGAGAUUAAAGAUCUAAUGACCAAAAGUGACAUAAAGGGUCAACAUACAGAAACUUUGCUGGCAGGAUCCCUGGCCAAAGCCCUUUGCUGUAUCCUAGGUGUCUGAAUCAUUUAGAAGGUGUCUUCUGUAAUAAACAUAUCUUAACUUGUGACAUUUCUUAGGAUCUUGGGUGCCCAUUACUGGGACGU